UAGGAUUUCCAUGAUUCUGCAAGCAAUACAAAUGAAGAUCAGUAAUAUAAUCAAAUGCAACCUGAAUCUAGGUUUGGGAAGGUGGAAGAGAGGGAAAGAAGAUAGUCAUUUUCCACUCUUUCCUUAUUUGGGAAAGAUGAUAAAGUGGGGAAACAAACACUAUAACCUUCUCUCCAAAUUAGAAAGCGAGUGAAGGCAAAUUUUGUUGAAUUGUAUUUUCAUUCUACACAAAAUUUUUCUUUUUGAAAGUUGCAGGUUGAUGUCAUAAUCUUUCUAUUCAUAAACUUUUCUUUGUUAUUCCUUCCUCCCUUACCAAAGAAAAGGAGAGAGAAAACAAUUUUCUCUUCCUUACUUUUCCCUAUCUAUUUUG
rnacentral:misc_RNA from 1 species